rnacentral:rRNA from 1 species
GAUGAACGCUGGCGGCGUGCCUAAUACAUGCAAGUCGAGCGAACAGACGAGGAGCUUGCUCCUUUGACGUUAGCGGCGGACGGGUGAGUAACACGUGGGUAACCUACCUAUAAGACUGGGAUAACUUCGGGAAACCGGAGCUAAUACCGGAUAAUAUUUCGAACCGCAUGGUUCGAUAGUGAAAGAUGGCUUUGCUAUCACUUAUAGAUGGACCUGCGCCGUAUUAGCUAGUUGGUAAGGUAACGGCUUACCAAGGCAACGAUACGUAGCCGACCUGAGAGGGUGAUCGGCCACACUGGAACUGAGACACGGUCCAGACUCCUACGGGAGGCAGCAGUAGGGAAUCUUCCGCAAUGGGCGAAAGCCUGACGGAGCAACGCCGCGUGAGUGAUGAAGGUCUUCGGAUCGUAAAACUCUGUUAUUAGGGAAGAACAAACGUGUAAGUAACGGUGCACGUCUUGACGGGACCUAAUCAGAAAACCACGGCUAACUACGU